GUAACACCCCAAAUUUUGCCCUAAGAUUAGUCGAACCAUCUCGCGUUCUGUUGCAUUUUUGCAUUUAACUAAUUACUAACAAGUUCUUGUAGUUGGUUGAUUUUUGCAGGAAACAUCGCGUGGUGCGCUCUUUAGCUUAUGAAGGGCAAAACGGUCAUUUGUUUACAGCCGGCCGUCAAGUUUGAAUUUUGAGUUGUAAUCAGGAACUUUGGUUUGUUUGAUCUGGUUGGGAGAUUUUAAUCGGAAAUGGUGUCGGAAGCGAAGUUAGUCGGAUAACCAUAUUGCAUUGUACCGUCAUUUUAUUUUAAAUUAAUUUUAUUUAAUUCUAUUUUAUAUUUCAUUUCAUUUUAAAAUAGAUCAUCUCAUUUUAAGUUUUAUUUCAUUUUAAAAUAAUUAAUCUCAUUUUAAGUUUUAUUUCAUUUUAAAAUAAUUAAUCUCAUUUUAAGUUUUAUUUCAUUUUAAAAUAACUAAUCUCAUUUUAAGUUUUAUUUCAUUUUAAAAUAACUAAUCUCAUUUUAAGUUUUAUUUCAUUUUAAAAUAACUAAUCUC
rnacentral:lncRNA from 1 species